rnacentral:sRNA from 2 species
CGGCCAACGCCGCUGAAUCUCACGAGCCGGGGACCCAUCUUUCCGGGGUGAAUCCGCCACGCGCGGUAGGACGCCUCUUCCGAGUCCGAACCCGUCAGCUAACCCGGUAAGCGGCCAUGAGCGGAAGA